rnacentral:rRNA from 1 species
GUGGGGAAUAUUGGACAAUGGGCGAAAGCCUGAUCCAGCCAUGCCGCGUGUGUGAAGAAGGUCUUCGGAUUGUAAAGCACUUUAAGUUGGGAGGAAGGGCAGUAAGUUAAUACCUUGCUGUUUUGACGUUACCAACAGAAUAAGCACCGGCUAACUUCGUGCCAGCAGCCGCGGUAAUACGAAGGGUGCAAGCGUUAAUCGGAAUUACUGGGCGUAAAGCGCGCGUAGGUGGUUCAGCAAGUUGGAGGUGAAAUCCCCGGGCUCAACCUGGGAACUGCCUCCAAAACUGCAUGACUAGAGUACGGUAGAGGGUAGUGGAAUUUCCUGUGUAGCGGUGAAAUGCGUAGAUAUAGGAAGGAACACCAGUGGCGAAGGCGACUACCUGGACUGAUACUGACACUGAGGUGCGAAAGCGUGGGGAGCAAACAGGAUUAGAAACCCCGGUAGUCC